ensembl:snoRNA SNORA62 Small nucleolar RNA SNORA62/SNORA6 family
AAGGCAACAUUGUUGUAAAUGAUUUCAAAGAUUUAAAAAGGUAUAAGCUUACAAGUGUAGGUAGUAUGCUAUGUGAGGGGCAGGUUUUUCACUAACAUCACAUGGGGCUCUGAUCCAGUGAGUGGAGUUUGAUAGUAAUUUUUGAUACAAGU